rnacentral:lncRNA from 1 species
UAUUUUUUUUUUUUGAGCAAAUCGUGGGCAAACAUAGGUUUAAGCUUAUUAAGCAAGGCACAUUAAUCAGGCAUAACAAAGUCUUUGGCAAGAAUAAAAUUUUAUUUUCGUUAGAAAAGCAAAUGGGCAAGUUUACAUUGUUAUCUAUAAAUCUCCUUUUAUCUUAAAAAUUCUGUGAUUUGACGAUUCCAAAUCAUUAAGAAUUUUAGAAAUGGAUAUAAAACAGUGAUAAGAACAUUUCCUUUCAAAAUGCGUAAAGCAUUGUUAAAAUAUCUCUGGGAAAAACGCUUGCUGGGAUUUCUAAAUUCAAUAAAAGCCAUUAUGCAUUUCUCAGAGAAGCACACCAAUAAAGUGGUGACAACUCUUCCAAGGUUACAAAGAAAGAACUCAGGAAAAAUUGUUAGUUUUAGAAGGUAAUAAUGUGCAGAAUAAUUUACAUUAUAUAUUUAUUUUAAAAGUACAUAAAUGAAAAUUAAGAACUUAGAUGAAGUGGACAAAUUCUUUGAAGAAAUAUAACAAAAUUAGCACAAAAUAAAAUGUAAAAUCAGAAUUGACAAUAAAAUAAUUAAAAUACAUAUAAGCAACUAUAGGGAAAAAUUUAAAACAUUGCUAAAAUGGGUUGAAUAAGACCUAAAUAAAUUAGAGAAACUGAACUUAUUUUUUAAAGCUUUCCUGUGAAGAUAUUUCCAUAUCCAAAGAAAUGAUAGUAUCAAUGUUUUCUAUUAUUCAAGGGAUAAGCACUGUCAGAAAACAGGAGGAAACACUUCAUAACUCAUUUUAUAAGGCCAUCAUAUCCCUAAUGACAAAACCUGAAAAAAAUUACAAAAAAAGAAAAUUAAUGAUUAUUAUCUUUCAUGAAUAUAUAUGCAGAAAUCAUUAACAAAAUAUUAGCAAAUUGAAUACAAAAACCAUAUUAAAAGAUAGUAGACUAUUACUGUGUAGGAUUUUUCCCCCAUGCAUCUGUUUUGCUUUUUUUAAUUUUGUUUUAUUGGAAUAUAGUUGCUUUACAGUGUUGUAUUAGUUUCAGGUGUGCAGCAAAGUAAUUAAGUUAUACAUAUACAUAUAUUCAUUCUUUUUCAGAUUCUUUUGCCAUAUAGGUUACUACAGAAUAUUGAGAAAAGUUCCCCCUGCUAUGCAGUAGGUCCUGUUGCUUAUCUAUUUUACAUAUCAUAAUGUGUAUACAUUAAUCCCAAACUCCUAAUUUAUCACUCUUCCCCCAUAUUUCCCCUUUGGUAACCAUAAGUUUGUUUUAAUAAACUGUGGGUCUGUUUCUGUUUUGUAAAUAAGUUCUUUUGAUCAUUUUCAUUAGUUUCCACAAAAUGAUCUCAUAUGAUAUUUGUCUUUCACUGUCUGACAUACUUCACUUAGUAUAAUAAUCUCUAGGUUGCUGUUAAUGGCAUUAUUUCAUUUUUUGUGUGUGUGUGUGGCUAACAUAACAUUGUAUACAGGUACUGCAUCUUCUUUAUCCACUCCUCUAUCAAUGGACAUUUAGGUUGCUUCCAUUCUUGGCUAUUGUAAAUAGUGCUGCAAUGAACAUUGGAGUGCAUGUAUUUUUUAGAAUUAUGAUUUUCUCCAGAUAUAUGCCCAGAAGUGUGUUUGCUGUAUCAUAUGAUAGUUCUGUAUUUAAUUUUUUAAGGGCAUUUAUUACAUUGUUUUAUUUAUUUUUUAUUUUUCUUUUUAGAGCCGGGACCAUGGAAUAUGGAAGUUCCCAGGCCAGGGGUGGAAUUGGAGCUGCAGUUACUAGAGUUACCACAGCAACUCAGGACUGGAGCCACAUCUGUGACCUAUACCACAGCUUAUGGCAAUGGAGAAUCGUUAACCCUCUAAGCGAGGCCUGGGAUGAACCCACAUCCUCCUGGAUACCAGUAGGGUUUUUUUUACCUCUGAGCCUCAACAGAAACUCCUGUAUUUACUUUUUUAAGGAACCUCCAUACCGUCCUCCAUAGUGGUUAUACCAAUUUACAUUCCCACUAACAGUAUAGGAGUGUUCCCUUUUCCUCCAUACACUUCCCAGCAUUUAUUGCUAAGAUUUUUGAUGAUGAACAUUCUGACUAGUGUGAGGUGGUACCUCGUUGCAGUUUCGAUUUGCAUUUCUUUAACAAUUAGUGACAUUGAGCAUUUUUUCAUGUGCUUUUUGGCCGUCUAUUUAUCUCUGUUGGAGAAAAGUCUAUUUAGAUUCUUUGCCCAUUUUUUGACUGAGUUGUUUGCCUUUUUUUUUUUUUAGCAAGCCACCAAAGUUUUUAUUAAAGGAAAGCAGAUAGCUCCCAGGGCUACUGGGAGGGGGGAAAAGAGCCCCCUUGUUUGCUUUGUUAAUAUAGAGCUGAGUAAGAUGUUUGUAUAUUUUGGAGAUUAAUCCCUUAUUGGUCACUUUGUUUGCAAAGGUUUUCUCCCAUUCUAUGGUUUGUUUUUUCAUUUUGUUUAUGGUUUCCUUUGCUCUGCAAAAGCUUUUAAGUUUAGUUCCCAUUGCUUUAUUUUUGUUUUUAUUUUCAUUACUCUAGGAGGUAGACUCAAAAAGGUAUUGCCGCAAUUUUUGUUAAAAAGUGUUCUACUCCAUAGAAUUUAUCCUAGGAUUAUAAAUUUAUUUUAAUAUUUAAAAUCAGUGACUGCAAUUCACCAUAUCAGAAUGAAGAAUAACAACCAUAUGAUCCUUUCAAAAGAAGCAGGAGUUUGGGGUUGUUGACAGUAUUCAACAUUUGUUCAUGAUGAAAGCUUUUGCCAAAAUGUCUUCAGCUAACACCACAAUUAAUGGUGAUUGUGAUGGCUGAUUUUACAAGUCAACUUGGCUGGGUCACACAGUGUCCUGGUAUUUGGUCCAAUAUUAUUCUGAGUGCUUUUGGAUGACAUUAACAUUUAAAUUAGCAGAUUUUUAAGUACAAAGCAGGUUGCUCCCUAUCGUGUGGUGAGCCUCAUCCAAUUAGUUGAAGGCUUGAACAGAGAAAAACAGACUAGCCUCCUCUGAGCAAGAGAGAAUUCUCCAGCAGACUGCCUUCAGAUUCCAUUUGCAAUGUUGCUUCUUUUGGUCCUACAGCAAUUCCUUUAGACUCAAACUAGAACAAUGCUUCACUUGGGUCUACAGCUUGCUAACCCACCCUAAGGAAUUUGUACUUGCCAAUCUUCAUAAUCAUUAAAGUCAAUUUUGUGCACUAAAUCUCAUUUUUACACACCACACCACACACACACACACAGAGCUCUGUUUCUCCGGAGACCUCUGAUCGAUACAGUGAUAUAUUAAAUACUUCCCUUGCAAGAUCAGGAAGAGAAGGAUGCAUACUCUCACCAGUAUUUUUCAACAUUGUGCUGAAGAUCCCAAUCAUCGCAAUAGCAAAAGAAAAAUAAAGGCAUAAUCCUUCAAAAGGAAGAAGUAAACUGUUUCUGUUCAGAGAUGGCAAGAUUGUUUUCAUAGAAAAUCCUGAUGAAUACACAACAGUACUGGAACCAGUGAGUGAACUGAUCCACAUUGCAAGAGAAAGGUCAAUAUAAUUGAGCAAAUAUAUAUUUACAUUCUAAGAGCAAACAAUUAGAAAAUAAAUCAAUAGCAUCAGAAUACAUAAAACACAGGAACAAAUUUAGCAAAAAAUGGGCAAGGCAUUUACACAGAAAGUUAUAAAACAUUUCUAUAAAAUUAUAGGAUAUAUCAAUAAAUGAAAACAUUCAUGUUUACGUAUUAGAAGAUUCAACAUUAUUAAAACACUUACUCGUCCCAGAUUGCAAUCUCAAUCGUACCCCUAGAACAUUUUUCACAGAAAUUGUCAACUUGAUGCAAAAUUGUAUAUGGAAAUGCAAAUUACCUAGAAUAGCCAAGUAAUGUUUAGAAGGAAGAGCUAAACUGAUGUUAACACUUCCUCUAUCUGAAUAUUUAGUAAUCAAGACAGUUGUGGUAUUGAUAAAAUGAUAGACAUAUAGAUCAAUAGAACAGAAUAAAGGAUACAGAAAUAUACCUGCACAUAUACACUAUAUUAUUUUGACAAAAAUAUAAAAAUUUUCAAUGAGUAGAGAAACUUCUUUGAACAGUGCUAGAAACACUGGAUAUUCAUGUAGGAAAAAAGUGAAUAUUUAAACAUAUAUACACCAUAAAAAAUAGCUCUAAGUCAAUCAAAUACUUGACUAGAAAAACUAAAAUAACAAAGCAUCUGGAAAAAAAAACAUAGAAAUAAAAAUCUGGCGGUUCGAAGACUGCUUAGAGAUGACACAAAAGCACAAUAUAUAAAAGAAAAAAUAUAAAUUAGACUUUAUGACCAUUAAAAACAUGUAUAUUUCAAAAUACAGACAACAAAAAGGUAAACCUAAGAAUGAGAAAAAAUAUUCACAAUACAUUAUGUUACAAAGGAUUUCUAUUCAGAAAAUAUAACUUAUUUUUACAACUCAAUAAUAUACAGACAACUAAUUAAAAAUAGGUGAAAUAUUUGAAAGGAUACACAAAAGGAGACAUGCAAAUGGUCAAUAAGAAUAUGAGGAGAUAUCUAAAAUCAAAAAGAUGCAUUAAUCAUCAGGAAAAAAAUGCAAAUUAAAAACGCCGUGAGAAACCACUACUCAUGAUUAGAAUGAUUAAAAUUAAAAUGUCUGUUAUGGGGAGUUCCCAUUGUGGCUCAGUGGUAUCAAACCCAACUAGUAUCCAUGAAUUUGUGGGUUCAAUCCCUGGCCUCACUCAGUGGGUUAAGAAUUCGGCAUUGCCACAAGCUACAGUGUAGGUCGCAGACACAGCUCAGACCCCUUGUACUGCUGUGGCUGUGCUGGCAGCUGCAGCUCUGAUUCAACUCCUAGCCUGGGAACUUUCAUAUGCUGCGGGUGCAGCCUUUAAAAGCAAAAAAAAAAAAAAACGGGAAAAAAAUUUAAAACUAUCAGUUAUGGAGAAGUGUUUGGAGCAACUGAAUCUCAUGUACAUUGUUUCUGAGAAAUCAGGAAGUUACCUUACAUGUUUAUAGUAUGUCUGGCCAUUUCAUUUCUAGGUAUUUACCCAGUAGAAGUGAAAAUAAGUAUUCACAAAAACUGCCUGUACAUGAAUAUCUGUAGCAACUUUAUUCACUAUAGCUAAAGGCUGGGAAAAAGCCAAAUAUCUACCCAGGGGUGAAUGGGAUAAAAAUAUGAGUUACAUACUUGUAAUAGAAUAAUUCUCAGCAAUAAAAAGAGAAGAACUACUGAUGCGUACAAUAGCACGAAUGACCUGAAACUCAUUUCCCUGAGUGAAAAAAUUCAGACAUGAAAUAGUACAUACUGUAAGACUUCAAUCAAUUAAAAUUCUAGAAAAUGCACACUGAUGGAUUGUUACUAAAAGUGUAUCAACUAUUGCCUGGGGUGGAGCUACGAAUGAGGGAUGGACUACAAAUAGGCAUGAGAACACUUUGCGGGGGAGAUGGAAAUAGUCUACAUCUUGUUCAUAAGGAGGAUUUCACAGAUGUACAUAUCCAUCAAAAUCCAAAUACAUGUACACUUGAAAUAGAUGCAGUGGUAUGAAAAUUAUAAAUAAAUAAAAGCAAUUUUUAAAAUGGAAACAAAUAAACCAUCAAAUAAAGUGUGGUAUGUGCUCAGGACUAAAUGUUAAUAGACUAUGAAAAUGAUUUUUAACUGUUAGUAAUGACAUCUUUUUAAAUGCUAUAAAAUGAAUAGCCUGAUGGAUUGGUUUAUUUAGGAUGAUCAAAGCUAUGCAAAUGUAUACAUGCAAAAGAACAAAUGAAACUGGAAGAAUAUGUAUGAAGAUAUCUUUCAGGGCUUUUUCUCCUACGCAUUUGUAAAUUGCAAACAUUCUAUAAAUGAGAUUCUUUUUGUUCUAAAACAACUUUUACUGUCAUGUUGAUACGAUAGAGGUGGUAGGAUGAGCAGGGAGCCAAGGGAUUUCUAUGGCCCUUUUCAGCAUUAUUUAGCUUUAGCAUGCUUCUUCUGAAAUGACUCAUUUCAAGAGCUGCCUGCAUUGCUUCUUGGGAGUCAGACGGGUGGAAGACAACCAGUAAGUUAGGCAUUAUGUUCUAGUCUGAUAGUAAUUGAAGCUGUAGUUUAAAAAAAAAUGACAACAUGUACAAUAAUGGCAUUACACAUUGACAAGACAAGCA